AGCGAACGCUGGCGGCAGGCUUAACACAUGCAAGUCGAGCGGGCACUUUCGGGUGUCCGCGGCGGACGGGUGAGUAACGCGUGGGAACGUGCCCUCUGGUUCGGAAUAACUCAGGGAAACUUGAGCUAAUACCGGAUACGCCCUUUUGGGGAAAGGCUUGCUGCCGGAGGAUCGGCCCGCGUCUGAUUAGCUAGUUGGUGAGGUAACGGCUCACCAAGGCGACGAUCAGUAGCUGGUCUGAGAGGAUGAUCAGCCACACUGGGACUGAGACACGGCCCAGGCUUGUAGGGGGGGCAGCAGUGGAAGAGAUGGGCCACGGCGCGGGAGACGGACCGAGCGAUGCCGGGUGUGUGAUGAGGGCUUGUGGUUUGCAAAGCUCUUGGAGCCGAGAACUACAGCGCGCAACGGGAACAAGAACCCCCGGCUACCUGCGUGACGGCAGCCGCGGUAAUAGUCGGAGAGCAAACGUCUGACC
rnacentral:rRNA from 1 species